GGUUCACUAUAUCAGAACCUAAAAAUAAAGUACAGCAUGCAGUUGCAAUUGCUGUUUUCUCUGCUCUGCAUCCCCCUGAUUUGGUGUGUGCCUCUUCCCGGGGUCCCGAGUGCAUUAGACACUCGCGACAAGUGGCACCCGAACAGGGACCCCAACGGUCGCUCAGGAGAGUCUUCCAGAUCCGAAGAACAUAACUGAUGGAGCUCCCGUCUUCCCUCAAAAGACGCAUCUCCUGUGGUGGGGAGACGGUGGAAUUGCCAAUCCUGCUGUUGCAGCCGAAGAGUACCCUCAUAAUCUCCAAAAUCACAUUUGAAAGAUUCCAGCCGCUAUGCAACCUGUAACCUUGUACAAUGUUUCCUAUUCAGGAACUAGUCGAUCUGUAUCUACUAAUUAUAAUUUUACUAAGUUUAUGAUAUAUAAUGUUACUGUUUGUGCACCUCUGCCUUAUGUCUUUUUAGUGGGAACUUUUAAUUUUACACACUUUUCUGUACUUGUUUAAAUUGUCAAUUGUUUACCUGUUUAAAUAACACAUUAAAUUUCACUAAACCUUAUACAGUUAUGCUUUUACAACAAAAAACUCAUAUUUGGUUACCUAUAAAUCUGACUCAACCAUGGUCUCAAGACCCAAUAAUCUCUGUUACUACUGAAUUUUUUCAACAUCUGUUAAAACGUACAAAACGAUUUAUUGGAAUAGUGGUCGCUGUAUUGUUGAGCCUGAUAACUGCGGCAUCUUUAGCGGCAGUCUCAGGAAUAGCUUUACAAACCUCUUUACAAAAAAAAACAUGUUGUGGAACAAUGGCAUGAAAAUUCUCAUGAACUUUGGUUAACCCAAUGACAAAUAAAUUCUAAACUACAGCAGCAAAUAGACCUUCUUAAACAAACAGUUGAAUGGAUGGGAAAAAAAUAUUGGCUCUUCAACAUCAAGUAUUUCUAAAAUGUGAUUGGAAUUCAACUACUUUUUGUAUAACACAGCGACCAUAUAAUCAGACAAAACAUGAAUGGGAAACAAUUAAAAUAUAUCUAAAUGGGAAUAUUUCUGCCCAGGAGGAAAUAGAGUCUUUACAUAAUCAAAUUGACAAAGAUUUUACAAAGCAUAAUGAUGAUAAAUCCCUGGCUCAAUUUGCUCAAUUGCUUGCUCAGUCUUUAGAAAGAUUGGAUCCAAAAGGAAUUUGGCAAAGCAUAACUCAUACUUUAAGUGGCAUGGGACUUAGCCUAAUCUUAACCCUUAUCACUAUAGUCCUUGUAUAUUGUUGUUACAUAAGAUGAAAUGCCACAAAUAAUUUGACCUUAUAAAAAUUUUUCUUAAAUACAAAAAAGGGAAGAACUGUGGUGUCGCCUAAGGAGUCUGGCCCCCUCCUAGUCUGUGAUAACAUCAGCCCCGGCAUGAGAACAGAGACUGGGUAGGAAAGCUGGCCCAAGAGGAGAAAAGGUUCUCCCCUCUUUUCUCAUGAUGUGUGACUAGGCUGUGUUUACAGAGCUAGUAGGAAGUGGCCGACCUUCAGGUGGCUAGAAAGAACAAACAUAAUUAAAAACAUUCUUGGGUUAAUGGUGUUCCUCCUGGGUUAUUGGGGCAAGAAGAACUGGUUUUGCUUUUUUUGCUUAACUUAGAUAGUUUAGAUAAAAAGCUUAACUUAGAUAGUUUAGAUAACAUUGUAACUUGUCACAAAGCUUGUCACAAAAUGUGCUAUUACAAGAUAAUCGUCUGUGUACUGUGAGUUGAUCUGGUUCACUAUAUGAGAACCUAAAAAUAAAGUACAACAUGCAGUUA